rnacentral:other from 1 species
GUCGCACAACGAAGUGAACAUCAGGAUGAUGGCACUUCGGCAGGACACACCAGGACGGUGUUACAGGGAAAGGCUUCAGGAUGAAGUGAAGAGGAAAACGCAGGAGCGCGUUAAAGGACACCUCCAGGAAGGAGAACGAGAGCCGGUCAGGAUAGUCGGUGGGUCAGGAUGGCCAGGACGCUUCAGGAUGAAGUCAUCACAUCGGGGUGGUGUGUGCAGGACGCAAAUGUUCAGGAUGAACAACAGGUCGCAAGACCACAGGAAAAGUUGUCACGGAUGAGCAGGGAGCAAGAAAAGUAGCUGGAAUGCUGCGAAACGAACCGGGAGCACUGUUUUUACAGUGCUCCCUUUUUUUG